rnacentral:rRNA from 1 species
UACAUGGGGUGCAAACGUUGCUCGGAAUUAUUGGGCGUAAAGCGCACGUAGGCGGUUCGUUAAGUCGGAUGUGAAAGCCCUCGGCUCAACUGAGGAAGUGCACCCGAAACUGGCGAGCUUGAGUACGAAAGAGGAUCGCGGAAUUCCCGGUGUAGAGGUGAAAUUCGUAGAUAUCGGGAGGAACACCGGUGGCGAAGGCGGCCAUCUGGACGGUAACUGACGCUGAGACGCGAAAGCGUGGGGAGCAAACAGG